AAAUUAAGCCAUGCAUGUCUAAGUAUAAGCACUUUAUACUGUGAACUGCGAAUGGCUCAUUAAAUCAGUUAUCGUUUAUUUGAUAGUACCCUACCACAUGGAUACCUGUGGUAAUUCUAGAGCUAAUACAUGCUGAAAACCUCGACUUCGGAAGGGGUGUAUUUAUUAGAUAAAAAACCAAUGCCCUUCGGGGCUCCUUGGUGAAUCAUAAUAACUUAACGAAUCGCAUGGCCUUGCGCCGGCGAUGGUUCAUUCAAAUUUCUGCCCUAUCAACUUUCGAUGGUAGGAUAGUGGCCUACCAUGGUGGCAACGGGUAACGGGGAAUUAGGGUUCGAUUCCGGAGAGGGAGCCUGAGAAACGGCUACCACAUCCAAGGAAGGCAGCAGGCGCGCAAAUUACCCAAUCCCGACACGGGGAGGUAGUGACAAUAAAUACUGAUACGGGCUCUUUUGGGUCUCGUAAUUGAAUGAGUACAAUCUAAAUCUUAACGACUUGGAGGGCUGUCUGGGCGCG
rnacentral:rRNA from 1 species